AAUAGAUAAAAUAUUAAUAAAUAAAAAAUAAAUUUGGUGUAUAUGAUAUUUUCGUAGACCGGGUGCAUGUAAUAUAUAUUAUUGAAGUGGAGAAGGGAAAGAGAGGAGGACACAUGUCACUCCCAUGGCUUUUGAUGUGACCUAACUCAUAAAUUAGAUAUCUAGUAGACCAGGUGUAUGCAAUAUAUAUUAUUGAAGUGGAGAAGGCAAACAGAGGAGAACACAUGUCACUCUUAUGACUUUUGAUGUGACCCAACUCUCAAAUUAUAUAUCACUCCCAUGGCUUUUGAUGUGACCCAACUCUCAAAUUAUAUAUCUAAUAGAAGAUAGAUAAUAAAUAACAUAUUCUAUCAUUGUAGCA
rnacentral:lncRNA from 1 species